AUACGGAGGAUCCGAGCGUUAUCCAGAUUUAUUGGGUUUAAAGGGUGCGCAGGCGGCCAUUUAAGUCAGCGGUUAAAUCGUGGGGCUCAACCCCAUUCUGCCGUUGAUACUGGGUGGCUUGAUUGCGGUCGAGGUUGGCGGAAUUCGUUGUGGAGCGGUGAAAUGCAUAGAUAUGACGAAGAACACCGAUUGCGUAGGCAGCUGACCAGACCGCAAAUGACGCUCAUGCACGAAAGUGCGGGGAUCGAACAGGAUUAGAUACCCUGGUAGUCCGCACAGUAAACGAUGAAUACUUGUUUUCGGCGAUAUAAUGUCGGAGGCAAAGCGAAAGCGAUAAGUAUUCCACCUGGGGAGUACGCCGGCAACGGUGAAACUUAAAGGAAUUGACGGGG
rnacentral:rRNA from 1 species